GCCUCGGCUGGGAGCAGUCGGCCACCUCCCUCCGAGCGCUGGACGCUCUGCCGCCCGCCAGCCUGCCGCAACACAGUGGGAACUGUGCCAUGCAGUGGCAACUUCAUCCAUACUGAAAAUGGCAGUGAUAGAAAAGUCAAGAAGGACUACCCAACCCAUAUCAACGUUUGCCAUCCUGACCACCUGCCAGUGGCUCCGUGAGCUUCAAACUCUCCCUUCCUUCAGCCUGGACUCUCCUAUAUCCUUGUCCACACAUAUGCUUAAUUCAUUCUUCAGAAUUCUGCUUCACAAGUAUUCAAAUGUUGACAAGAGAAACAUUCAGCCUUGUGGUACAAUUGGGUGGAUAAUAUGCAGUGUGAAUCAAAAUAAAUAAAAAUGUUUCUACCUUU